UUUUUUUUUUUUUUUUUUAAUGAAUGGAGGGCGGCGGCGACUGCUGCAGCUGGGCCAGCUGCGCGGGCUGCACCCCCUCCCAGCCUGCGAGAGGAGGGCUUGGACUGUCAGAUUACAUUUCUAAGCUUCCAGAAGAGCAACACAUAGACACGGGAAGUCAGAGCCUUUGAACUCAAAUGCCAUCCCCAUCACCCACCUCCACCACCAGCAGUACCACCGAAUGGCACUUUGGACAACUUUUCCCUCUCAUGUGAAUUUUGUCAUUUCUUACAUCAAUUGGAACCAGCACCUCUCAAAUUCAUCUUCUAAAACCCAGAAAAUUGUGUGGAACACAUGAGGACUGAAAGGAAGCUGUGAGGCCGAGAAAUGGAAGGAAACGGCUCAGGUGAUAUAGCCAGAGCAGAAGGACCCAAGCCCCUUAUCAAGGCUUGUUCUCAAGGGGAAAAUGCAGCCCUGGGGCUGCCCUUCACUCGGGUCUUUUGGAUGGGACUUCUGAGCUCUUUCCUGAUGGUAAUGUUUGGACCUCUCCAACCCAGUUCUUCCUAGCACCCUUGCUUUUCCAUCCUUGGAGGCCUCAGGUCAGACCCCUCAGAGAGGUGUCCCUACAGAAAGCCGCUGUUCCAGAAUGUGACCCAUUAAAAAACUCAGCACUUACAGAUGUGAAAUAAUCCUGUUCAUUCAUUUAUUUUUGAGAAUCUAAGCCCCCUGUGGGCAGGAACCGUAUCUAUCUUGUUCCUGCGGUGCGGGGGCUUAGAGUGGUGACCAGCACUUAGUAAAACAUACUCAUUAAAUGACUGAAUGAACGAAAUCCCAGGAGGGCAGUUGAGUAUUUUUUUAUUAUUAUUUUUCUGGUCCUGACCAUCUGAUUCUCAUUACUUCUGCAGCUCGGGAAGUCUCUCUCUGCUUUGGCGUUUUAUAAACCUCCUGUGCGUACAUCGACAUUUUAACCGUAAAUCCGCAGAGUUCUGGGACAG